AGAGUUUGAUCCUGGCUCAGAGUGAACGCUGGCGGCAGGCCUAAUACAUGCAAGUCGAACGGCAGCACAGCAGAGCUUGCUCUGUGGGUGGCGAGUGGCGGACGGGUGAGGAAUACGUGGGAAUCUGCCCAGUCGUGGGGAUAACGUAGGGAAACUUACGCUAAUACCGCAUGCGCCCUUCGGGGGAAAGCCGGGGACCUUCGGGCCUGGCGCGAUUGGAUGAGCCCACGUCGGAUUAGCUAGUUGGCGGGUAAAGGCCCACCAAGGCGACGAUCCGUAGCUGGUCUGAGAGGAUGAUCAGCCACACUGGAACUGAGACACGGUCCAGACUCCUACGGGAGGCAGCAGUAGGGAAUAUUGGACAAUGGGCGCAAGCCUGAUCCAGCCAUGCCGCGUGAGUGAAGAAGGCCCUCGGGUUGUAAAGCUCUUUUGUCCGGAAAGAAAAGCGCCGGGUUAAUACCCUGGUGUCCUGACGGUACCGGAAGAAUAAGCACCGGCUAACUUCGUG
rnacentral:rRNA from 1 species